rnacentral:lncRNA from 1 species
UAUUAUAAUUAUAAGUAUAUGCAGUAGACUCAUAGCGGCGAGUGUCACCUAGGGGAACGAUAAUUUUGAUUUACUUAAUUUACUUAAUAAGUAAUAAGUAUAAGUAUCGGUUAACCCGGGUUUAUUGAUAUUGGAUUUGAUAAAUAUCAAUGAAAUGAAGUGUUUCAAGACCGACCCUAAUUUCAAGACCGACCCUAAUGGAAUUGACUUAAAUUGAUCUGACCCCAUCAGAACGGAACGAAACUUAUUUGAUUGAUACAUGGAUACAUGGACCUACCAAUUCGACAUAGAUCCACCGGAUUUCACAUGUGAUAAAGAGAUUCUGUUUGUUCCCCGAACCCAAAUUUUAGAGAAAAAAAAAAAAAAAAAAAAAUUGAUAACUUGUUAAUCUUAAUCCCCGUUCCCAGAUUUUCGGAUUUCUCAUUUGUGAAUUUCCCAGCUUAGGGCGAUAUAGGAAUAGUCCGAUCUCAUCUUACCAAGGAGUGGAUAAAUGAAUGAAAGUUAAGUGGAAGAAAUGAAGAAAAAAUCUUCUUUUAUGUCGGACCAAUCACUUCCCAAAAGAGUCCUCUACUUUCGUCUUUCGGCCUAUUUUUAUUUUUAUUAUUAUUUAUAGCAAUUUCUAUAAUAGAUUUCGAUUUUAGACUAGAAUGGCGAUUAGAAUGAGCGAUUGAUGGACGAAUCAAAAAAAGCUAUUGGUAUGGGAUCAGAAAAGGUGGAAAGAUCCUUUACUUUAGAGUUAGUCAUCCCAUUCCAUUAUAUUGACAAUUUCAAAAAACUGUUCAUACUAAGUAUGAUGGCAGUCGGGCAAAUAUGCCCCCAUCGUCUAGCGGUUCAGGACAUCUCUCUUUCAAGGAGGCAGCGGGGAUUCGACUUCCCCUGGGGGUAGGGUACUACGAAAGGAAGUUGAUCGUGGAUUAUAAAUAAGCCUAGACUUUAUUCUUCCUGGGUCGAUGCCCGAGCGGUUAAUGGGGACGGACUGUAAAUUCGUUGGCAAUAUGUCUACGCUGGUUCAAAUCCAGCUCGGCCCAAUAAUUCGCUGAUCCAACAGGAAAUGAUAUAACCCCCUUUGUUUUCCAGAAAUGCCAGAUACGAAAGACUCAAGAAUCAAAAGAGUCCAAUUCUCCGAUAGAUCCCUACCGCUAUUUAUUUAUUUUGUUUGCUCCAUUUAUUUGUUCCCAUAAAUUCUGAUCUUGCUAAUAAUGAUCUAGAUUCAUAUCAGGAUCAUGAAAUCGAAAGCAUAAAGUCUAAUGAAAAGAAUAAAGUAACGCAAAAAAAGACUCUUUUUUUUUUGGGACAUUGAAAAACGAAUUAUCAAUUGAUUUGGCAAUAACGAAAGGAAUCCGUGCCGCUCUCACUAAAGUGUAUAUCCGUGUGUAUAUCAAUAUCUCACUCACGUCUCGGUUCCAACACGUCGAUAUUUAUCUAAAUAUAAAUGAAAUUGUUUGAAUGAAAUCAUAAAAAUAGGUAUUCGGUACAUUUUACCGCCCCGGGAUUGUAGUUCAAUUGGUCAGAGCACCGCCCUGUCAAGGCGGAAGCUGCGGGUUCGAGCCCCGUCAGUCCCGACGGAUCCAAAUCCAAUAAAAAAAAACAUCAAUAUAUCUCGCCGUUUCUGUUAAACUGGGCAAAAUAAAAUGGUAGAAUUUCAUGCCUACUGCUCUCCUUUGCUCUUUUUUCUUUUUCAUUUCGAUUUCUCAUCAACUAGUACCGAUUGAUGAGAAAGAGACAUGUGCGAAUUGCUACAAUUAUUGGUAGCAUCAUAUUCAGGAUUCCAAGAGCUACCGUAGGGGUCUGGUUUUUUGACUGUCCCCCAUCUGUGUAUGGAAUGGAAUCGAGUACCAUAUCGUUCCCGGGAGCGUAUACACAACUGAAUUUGAUUUUUUUUUUUUUUUUUUUUUUUUUUUUUUUUUUUUUUUUUUUUUUUUUUUUUUUUUUUUUUUUUUGGAUAGUCUGACAUAAAAAUAAAAAAAAACAGAUACUGAACUAUGAUGCUACCAAUAAUUGUAGCAAUUCGCACAUGUCUCUUUCUCAUCAAUCGGUACUAGUUGAUGAGAAAUCGAAAUGAAAAAGAAAAAAGAGCAAAGGAGAGCAGUAGGCAUGAAAUUCUACCAUUUUAUUUUGCCCCAGUUUAACAGAAACGGCGAGAUAUAUUGAUGUUUUUUUUUAUUGGAUUUGGAUCCGUCGGGACUGACGGGGCUCGAACCCGCAGCUUCCGCCUUGACAGGGCGGUGCUCUGACCAAUUGAACUACAAUCCCGGGGCGGUAAAAUGUACCGAAUACCUAUUUUUAUGAUUUCAUUCAAACAAUUUCAUUUAUAUUUAGAUAAAUAUCGACGUGUUGGAACCGAGACGUGAGUGAGAUAUUGAUAUACACACGGAUAUACACUUUAGUGAGAGCGGCACGGAUUCCUUUCGUUAUUGCCAAAUCAAUUGAUAAUUCGUUUUUCAAUGUCCCAAAAAAAAAAGAGUCUUUUUUUGCGUUACUUUAUUCUUUUCAUUAGACU